UACGAAGGGGGCUAGCGUUGCUCGGAAUCACUGGGCGUAAAGGGCGCGUAGGCGGCCUUCUAAGUCGAACGUGAAAUCCCCGGGCUCAACCCGGGAACUGCGUCCGAUACUGGGAGGCUUGAAUCCGGGAGAGGGAUGCGGAAUUCCCAGGUGUAGCGGUGAAAUGCGUAGAUAUCUGGAGGAACACCGGUGGCGAAGGCGGCAUCCUGGACCGGCAUUGACGCUGAGGCGCGAAAGC
rnacentral:rRNA from 1 species